GCGAGCGUUGUCCGGAAUUAUUGGGCGUAAAGAGCUCGUAGGCGGCCGGUUGCGUCUGCUGUGAAAUCCCGGGGCUUAACCCCGGGCGUGCAGUGGAUACGGGCCGGCUGGAGGCAGGCAGGGGAGAAUGGAAUUCCCGGUGUAGCGGUGAAAUGCGCAGAUAUCGGGAGGAACACCGGUGGCGAAGGCGGUUCUCUGGGCCUGUACUGACGCUGAGGAGCGAAAGCGUGGGGAGCGAACAGG
rnacentral:rRNA from 1 species